rnacentral:rRNA from 1 species
GACGAACGCUGGCGGCGUGCUUAACACAUGCAAGUCGAACGGACUACUUUGCUUCGGUAAGGUGGUUAGUGGCGAACGGGUGAGUAACGCGUAGACAACCUACCUCUUAGAUGGGGACAACAUCGCGAAAGCGGUGCUAAUACCGAAUGAAGUGACUUUCCUGCAUGGGAGAGAUACUAAAGGUGGCCUCUAUUUAUAAGCUACCACUGAGAGAUGGGUCUGCGUCUGAGUAGCUAGUUGGCGGGGUAACGGCCCACCAAGGCGACGAUCAGUAGCCGGUCUGAGAGGAUGAACAGCCACAUUGGGACUGAGACACGGCCCAAACUCCUACGGGAGGCAGCAGUGGGGAAUCUUCCGCAAUGGACGAAAGUCUGACGGAGCAACGCCGCGUGAGUGAAGAAGGUUUUCGGAUCGUAAAGCUCUGUUGUUUAAGACGAAUGUGCCUGUUUCGAAUAGGGAUAGGUAAUGACGGUAUUAAACGAGAAAGCCACGGCUAACUACGUGCCAGCCGCCGCAGUAA